GGUACUUGAAGAGUGGUUAUCCCUGUCCUGUUCGUUUUGCUCAUGUCGAAUCGUACAGGGUCAUCCACUUUUUCAGUAUC
rnacentral:pre_miRNA from 15 species